rnacentral:rRNA from 1 species
CACUAAGAAAUUAAGUCAUAUGUUAAAAGGUAAAAAGAUAGUUAAAUUUGCAAGCAAAUUACAUAAAUUUUUGUAUAGAGGUAGAAUUUAAGUACAAUAUUAUUAAUCUAAUUGUAAUUUUUAUAUUGAAGCUAUGAAAACCUUGAGGGAAACUGGGAUUUGAUACCCCAUUAUUCUUGGCUAUAAAAUAGAUAUAUAUAAUACUUACCAGAGAACUAUGAAUAUCAUAAAGUUUAAAACUCAAAGGGCUUGGCGGUGUUUUAGACCACUCAGGGGAACCUGUCUCAUAAUCGAUAAUCCACGUUAAACCUGACCUUUUUUUGUAUUCAGCUUGUAUACCGUUGUCAUCAGGUAACUUUUUAGAAUAUAAGAGUUAGCUACAAACCACAUAAGUUAAAACGUCAAAUCAAGGUGCAGCUCAUAAGAAGGGGAGGAUGGGUUACAAUUAUAAAAUCAUAAUACGGAAGACUAUAAGAACUUACAGUUCUAAAGGAGGACUUGAAAGUAAAGUAAGUUAUAUAAAUAAAUUGAAUAAGGCUCUGAAAUGUGC